UAAUUCAUAGUAUAAUAUAGCGUUUUAUUUUCAUUAGAAAAUAAUAAGUAGUCAUAUUCAUAUAUAAUAAAAAAAUGUGUGUGUCAGAGUUUGUAUCUAACGCUCAAUAUUGAUGUGUAACUAACACGAUAAAAGAAGCUAAAACUAAAUAUUAUAAAUCUGAACUAGAAAUGCCGGAAAUGACUAGAAACUAAACUGGAAAAUUAUUAAAAACUCGACUAACCGUUCUAAAACAAAUUCCUUUAUUCAAACUCUUAAUAACAAAUUUGGUAAAAAACUGCACUCCACAGAUAAUUCAAAAGAAAUAUCGAAUUAUUUUAUCGAGUACUUUAUAAAUGCAGCAUAAAACAUGUAUAACCAAAUAAAACGUAAAGACAAAAUAUACAUAAUGUAUAAUACACAUAUACUAAACAACUAACCUCAAACACUACAAAUAUAUGAUUUAAUAAUUUAGCGUAAUUAAUUAUGAAGAAAUCAUAAAAGCAAUAAAGGCUUUAAAAUGAUUCUUCUCCAGGAUUAGAUAGAAUUUCAGCUAUAGCAACAUCUACUUUUCCGGAAUGCUAUAAAUUUCAGUUAUAACCCCAAUACACAAAAAAAGAGCGAUGAAUCUAUUGAUUUUACUUUGAAGUGUAUUUUCAUCACCUUUAUUCGGGGAAGUGAAAAUGCUUCAAUUUUCCAUUUUGGGAUUAAUGAAAAACUCAAAAACAGGAAUAAACCUAAACUUGACAAAAUUGAUUUAUUUAUGUUGUUAU